GACGAACGCUGGCGGCGUGCUUAACACAUGCAAGUCGAACGAGUGGCGAACGGGUGAGUAAUACGUGAGUAACCUGCCCUCUUUUUGGGAUAAGCCUUGGAAACGGGGUCUAAUACCGGCUAAAGGGGGAUGGGCUCGCGGCCUGUUAGCUUGUUGGUGGGGUGAUGGCCUGACAAGGCGGUGACGGGUAGCCGGCCUGAGAGGGUGGACGGCCACAUUGGGACUGCGCUACGGCCUAGAGUCCUCCGGGGGGGAGCAUUGGGGGCUAUUGCACAAUGGGCGAAAGACUGAUGCAGCGACGCUGCGUGAGGUAUGAAGGCUUUAGGGUUCUAAACCUAGUGCGCUAGCGAGAGGGUAGGUGGCGAAGAAGCGCCGGCUAACUACGUGCCAGCAGCCGCGGUAAUAC
rnacentral:rRNA from 1 species